rnacentral:rRNA from 1 species
CCUACGGGCGGCAGCAGUGGGGAAUAUUGCACAAUGGGCGCAAGCCUGAUGCAGCCAUGCCGCGUGUGUGAAGAAGGCCUUCGGGUUGUAAAGCACUUUCAGCGGGGAGGAAGGCGUUAAGGUUAAUAACCUUGGCGAUUGACGUUACCCGCAGAAGAAGCACCGGCUAACUCCGUGCCAGCAGCCGCGGUAAUACGGAGGGUGCAAGCGUUAAUCGGAAUUACCGGGCGUAAAGCGCACGCAGGCGGUCUGUCAAGUCGGAUGUGAAAUCCCCGGGCUCAACCUGGGAACUGCAUUCGAAACUGGCAGGCUAGAGUCUUGUAGAGGGGGGUAGAAUUCCAGGUGUAGCGGUGAAAUGCGUAGAGAUCUGGAGGAAUACCGGUGGCGAAGGCGGCCCCCUGGACAAAGACUGACGCUCAGGUGCGAAAGCGUGGGGAGCAAACAGGAUUAGAUACCCGGGUAGUC